GCACCUGUUGUGUAGUGGUCAUCACAUCCGCUUUACACGCCCAGGUUCGAUCCCUGUAGUGGUCAUCACAUCCGCUUUACACGUCCCAGGUUCGAUCCCUGGCAGGUGCA
rnacentral:tRNA from 1 species